GACGAACGCUGGCGGCGUGCUUAACACAUGCAAGUCGAACGGAAAGGCCCUGCUUUUGUGGGGUGCUCGAGUGGCGAACGGGUGAGUAACACGUGAGUAACCUGCCCUUGACUUUGGGAUAACUUCAGGAAACUGGGGCUAAUACCGGAUAGGAGCUCCUGCUGCAUGGUGGGGGUUGGAAAGUUUCGGCGGUUGGGGAUGGACUCGCGGCUUAUCAGCUUGUUGGUGGGGUAGUGGCUUACCAAGGCUUUGACGGGUAGCCGGCCUGAGAGGGUGACCGGCGAAAGGGGGGCUGGAGGCAGGCGCGGGCAGGUAGGGGGGGAUGGGGGGGGGAGUGGGAAGGAACGGGCGGAACCGGGGUGCGGGACGGGGGCGUGGGGGAUGGGGGGUGGCGGGUUGAAAGGCGCUGGGGGGGGGGGCGGAGGGUGAGGGGCGGAAGGGGGAAAGGAAGCACCAGCUAACGAAGGGCGAGCAGCCGGGGAAAGAGUCGGAACGGAAGACGUCUGACC
rnacentral:rRNA from 1 species